GAUGAACGCUGGCGGCGUGCUUAACACAUGCCAGUCGAACGGUGAAGGCGGAGCUUGCUCUGCUGGAUCAGUGGCGAACGGGUGAGUAACACGUGAGCAAUCUGCCCCUGACUCUGGGAUAAGCGCUGGAAACGGCGUCUAAUACUGGAUACGAGCUGCGAAGGCAUCUUCAGCAGCUGUAAAGAAUUUCGGUCAGGGAUGAGCUCGCGGCCUAUCAGCUUGUUGGUGAGGUAAUGUCUCACCAAGGCGUCGACCGGUAGCCGGCCUGAGAGGGUGACCGGACACGCUGGGACUGAGACACGGCCCGGACUCGUACGGGAGGCAGCAGUGGGGAAUAUUGCACAAUGGGAGAAAGCCUAAUGCAGCAACGCCGCGUGGGGGAAGACGGCCAUCGGUUUGUAAACCUCUGUUAGCAGGGAAGAAGCGAAAGUGACGGUACCUGCAGAAAAAGCGCCGGCUAACUACGUG
rnacentral:rRNA from 1 species